CCUACGGGUGGCUGCAGUGGGGAAUAUUGCACAAUGGGGGAAACCCUGAUGCAGCAACGCCGCGUGAGUGAAGAAGUAUUUCGGUAUGUAAAGCUCUAUCAGCAGGGAAGAAAAUGACAGUACCUGACUAAGAAGCCCCGGCUAACUACGUGCCAGCAGCCGCGGUAAUACGUAGGGGGCAAGCGUUAUCCGGAUUUACUGGGUGUAAAGGGAGCGUAGACGGCUGCGCAAGUCAGAAGUGAAAGCCCGGGGCUCAACCGCGGGACUGCUUUUGAAACUGUGUAGCUAGAGUGCAGGAGGGGCAGGCGGAAUUCCUGGUGUAGCGGUGAAAUGCGUAGAUAUCAGGAGGAACACCGGUGGCGAAGGCGGCCUGCUGGACUGCAACUGACGUUGAGGCCCGAAAGCGUGGGGAGCAAACAGGAUUAGAUACCCGGGUAGUC
rnacentral:rRNA from 1 species